AAAAUAUGUUAAAAAAGUUAGUCCUAUUUUAGGUUACUGAUGGUGUAAAUCCUACUAUAUUAUUUGGGAAGUACAUUUUAAAUAUAACCUUAAUUUUUGUAAGUAAUUACAUAGGUAUGCCAUUAGGAAUAAAAUUUUAAAGAGUAAAUUAAUUUAUCUCUUUAAGGAUUAAAAAGUCAAAUACUAAUUUAAUUAAUUAAAUUUAAUUUAAAAACGAAAUACAUUAUUAAUUUUCAAAAAUAAUAACCAAUCAAAAUCAACAUAUAAGAUUUGAUAUCUAAAUUUUAAUUAAUUUGAUUUAAUUAGAAAAA
rnacentral:sRNA from 1 species